UGUAGAUUGCUUUGGGCUUUUCUGAUAAAGGAAGUACUUGACUGUGGAUUUGUGAGUCACAGAUCUGAGCAUGACCCUGGAGAGGAAGAGCUCAGCUGCCUCAGCCAGUUAAUCAAGUGUUCCCAUCCAUAGCACAACAGAAUCAGAGAGAAGGUCAAGGUGGAGAAAGGAGCCAAUCCUCCCAGCACCAAUAGAGUAAGGGGCCAAAUAAGUGUGCUGAGCUCAAGACGUAUUCUUUGCCCUGCCAAGGUUCUGCAUCAGAAAGUGGUGAAGGCCUUCUUGACAAGAACCUGACACUUUGAAGAUCAAUAGGAGAUUGAAUCUUCCCUGCACCAAAAGUCAAGCUACCUCUCAAAUCGAUGGCUGGCAACGGCUAACCGAGGAUGGAUCCAGUUAUCUGCCUUUUGUUUUUCUAUUGUUUUAACUCUGCCAAACAUCCUCUGUCCAGAGCAAUCAUUGGCAAACAAGAGGUAUUUAAGCUGGCACAGCUGGUGAGGCUAAAACAGAUGACUUUUACGUUUUCUAACUUGGGAAUCUGCUGUUGAGCUGCAUAA